GAACAGUGCUCUGCACAUAGUAAGUGCUUAACAAAUACCAACAUUAUUAUUAUUAUUAUUAUUAGAUGAGGAGUGGCUCGGGAUGGUAUGUCGACCUUGUUGUCUGGUGGGCACUAAGUGAGACGGAAGGGGAGGGGGACAAUUGAAAAGUUGUGAAUAGGGUUAGCACACCCAAAAGCGUAAUAACCCAUCUGUGGUCUGGCCAGCGAGUCUGUGACCUGACAUUCCCAUGGCCCUCCUGUUGGUUUGUCACUGCGCUAAGCAGAGACCCUGUAGGUAGUCCGCUCCCCCUGCCCCCAGCUUGCUGAGGGGUUCCAGCUGUGAAACUUGAGAGCUCGAUUCUCUGACCAGGCAGUCCUGGACCCCCAACGGAAGCAGCCAGCCUGGAGACCGGACCGGGGCAGCAGGAAUGAAGCCUCUCCUCUCCAGCGACUUCCUGAUCCGCCAGAGCUCUUUAGGCUGACCUCAGGGUUGAACUCAGGAGAUUCGGGGCUGUGACUCCCUUCAUUUGAGACAUGGUUUUCAGUGAACGGUGCAGCUCUCCGAAGUAGUCUGGUGGCACUUACUCCUGCUUUUCUGCAGACGGACCAACAAGCAGGGAGAAGGUGCAGAGCAGUGAUCGAGCAGAUGAAAGUCCAGACAACAAAUGACAAAUGAUCCUCGAGCUCUCAGUAGACAGGAACAGCAGCUUCUGGGCUCCAGCCGCCUCACAGACCAAUCUGUCAAUCAGUGCAUGAGCCUGCCAUUCAGCCUGCCCCAGAACCAGCGUAGAAUCAGAGGUCUGCAUCAAUCCACUCCACUUUUGUGUGCCAGGAUGGCCUUGAAUGUGUGGUUGCCCAGGCAAGACGAUGCAGUGACUUCAGAAAAGCCUCUAAGGAAACUACUGGCAAAGUUGGGGAGUCAGUCAGUCCUAUUUAUUCAACACUUACUGUGUGCAGAGAACUGUACUAAGUACUUGGGAGAAUACAGUAAGGCCCUGGUCUGAGCCAAGCUCCAGCCAGAAAAGAGAAUCCGAGGCCUUCGAUAGAAAAGUGAAAUCCCUUUCCUCCUGAGGGAAAGAGCAGGAAACUCCCCAAGUGAAGAGAAGUAUUAUCUUUGUAGUCAGCAAAAAGUUUUCUUUUGCUAACAUGCUAGAGAUCUCUUAUCUAGACAUGUCCUCUCUGAAAUGGGCUGUAAUCCCUAUUCAGCUAAAAUAUUCAGGUCCAAAUUCUUCAAAAGUUGAAGGGAAGGGAGGUGUUGAACCUGAAAGUUUGCUGUGGCUUUAAUCUCCAGAAGUAAAGAAUGGAGCUAUUGAACUUUAUCAAGGGUUCUAACAGGGAUCUGGGUAUAAUGUAACUUAGUCCUUCUCACUACUCAUUAACUGUUCUCCCUAGAGGGAUGGUCAAGAUAUUUAUUCUCCUGAUGUUAUUAACUGUAUUUCGCCGCCUAGGUGCCUCAAACCUCUCCCCGAAGAAGUGCUCCUUAAGAGACUCCUUCCAGGGAGAAGAAACUGCAUGAGGAGAUGAGCUCUGGCCAUGGAAAGCCGAUCCCGCCGUGCCCUCUGGGCGCUCAUGAGCACACCGUCAGCCCAUAACCAUCGUCCCUUGUCCCUGCCAUACAGGCAGUGGCAACCUGCCCUCCAGACAGCUGGGGAAGCUGAAGCCUUUGGGCCCAAGGUUUGGUCAAAGAAGGAAGUGUCUGGACUUUGAUUAAAUAAAUUAAUCUGUGCAAUGCAAAAUAGUUGGAUAAAAUAGAAAAUCUAAACGCUACUUGAACUCUGUCAAAGAGAAAUAGAAUACUGGCUCAGAAGGGACUGGCUGAGUCCCUGAGCCCCUGAAUUUAGCAAGGUGAGACAGCAGGAUGGUGUGGGGCUUUUGUGUCCCAGACCGGUUUGGAGCAAAGCCCUGAGCAGAUGGAGCGGUAGAAAUGUGCGUGGGAGAGACCUGGCCCACCCUCAUCAGGAGGGCUUUUUCCAGGAACAGGACCCUGGGCUGCUCUGCUCAGGAAGCCCACCUUUGAGGCGGGGUGGCUGUAGGCUGCUCAAACAGGAACGCCUGCCGCACUUGUUCUUGAGCAAACGGUGUCUUUCACGUACUGAGCCUGCUUCUAGCUGGAAUUUGCUGGAGGGCGGGGAUGGGGUUUGGAGGAGAAUCUCUUUGGGUAGGGAUUUGUAGAAUUUGGGUGGAAGGAAUCUGCCCCACUCUCCGCCCUCAAACAAUAGCAAGCGAUUGUUCAAAGUAAUCUCCAUAGCACUAGGGGAGAGAGAAAGUUUGGGUUAUUGGAGACCUAUUCUUUUGAAGUUGCCCAACGAUUGCUUUUGAAUAAUGGUGAAAACUUGUCCGGCCUUGAAAUCCUGAUGUUCACAUAGGAAAUGCCCUGGCUAUGUUUCCUGUUUUCCUAACCCUGCUUUUGAGCUUUGGAAAAUGGUUGAAAAAUGGGCUGUUUCCCCAGUAAAUGUGGCAUUUAGUUGAUCCCUGAGGGAACUAUUUUAGCUGGUCCCAAGAAGGAUCAUUGUGGGACAGCAGUGGUUGGGGGAAAUGAUGGGUUGAUGUGUUUGUACACGGGCAAGCAUACAAAAACAUGAAAUUUGUGUGUGUCUAGGUAAUUCCGCUCUGCAGAAUCCCCCAUGGCCGGCUCUCCAGUGUCCACUCCUUUGUGGAAGAAGCUGGUGGAUUUCAAAGGCUUCAGGUCAAGGGAAGUCCGACUACACUGAAGCAGACGAACCAGGAGAACAGGGAUCGCGUUUUCAGCUCAAGGUGAAGGGGCUGCUGUCAGCCACCACUUCCACAUGCUACCCAAAUCAGCCCCAACACACUUUGCAUGUCAAGGUUAUCGGUUGUGUUUUCUGAGUGCCGAUCCCUGCUGUAGUUGGAAACCCCCAUCCCUGGUCGGGGGUAACCAGCCAGGCACGUUACUUCUCAACAGCAUCAUGGGAUCUCCCACGUAAGUGACCCGCAAUCAGCUGACUGCUGAGAAGUCAGAUCUCAGCCCUUUGCUACACGAGGGUAAGGAAGGGGGAAAAGACCCCCGAUAGUUAAACGCUAAUGGAGCUUAACCACCGGGUAAGAUCACAAUGUACUCUUUGACUAGAAACCAAAUACCUGGUGCAGACAGGAUGGAAUCGAGCUGCUUUCUCCACCGGAGUAGUGAGCCGCUGGGGCAGUCUUCACCCGGGGCGACCACAGUUACAGAAAGACAAUGGUUGCUGGUCUUCUGUCUCAGCUCUGUGGCCGGAUUCUGCCCGGGCACAUCAGGGCCGCUGGGACUGCGGCCCCCCUCUGGUCAGUCCCCUCGCCGGAUUCCCAUUGGUCCAGGUUAACGGGGCCGUGGUGGACUUGAGGUCAAAAGAAAUCAACCAACGCUGGUGUCUUUGCCAUGAACACAUUGUAUUAGUUUUCCAGGCUCUACAUUAAGGGGGUGGGGAAGGAAGGCAGAGAGGUUGAGGGGGGAGGAGAGGCAAAGAGGAAGAGUGGUUUACAAGUGAAAGGUUCUCCCUGCUGGCAGAAGACUAGAAUUGGGAAAGGGUUUCUGCAGCAGGAGAAUGCUCGGUUUCGUGGCCUUGGUUGUAGUUGUUGAUCUUUGGCAGCGUAGAACUGAUUGUGAUCCUCUGAUCCAGCUCUGAAACGAUAAGCUUCUCAUUUCAUCACCCACCCGCCCAUCUCUCCCCGCAGGAAAAAACUGCAGCACUUCUCUACCACCAUGGGGUCCUUCUCCGAGGGCUCACUCGCCCGGACGUCGCUGCCCUUCUCGGUUUUACCAAGGAUGGCGAAGGAAACCUCAGUCGGUGACACGGCCCCCGGUGCCUACUGCGGUCCCUCCUCAGCAUCCCUGGGAAACAUGGUUUCAGUUCACCUGGCCCAGAACUACUUUUCCCGGAAGCUUUGCAACCCAGCUCUUCUGGAGUAAGACUCUUGCUUCUGAGGCAGCGUGACUAAGACCCGGGUACGGCAUUCAUCCUCUCAGCAAAUGGGCCUGGCUCUGUAAUAAUUCUUAGAGAAUUCUCACUUUGAGCGGGAGAGAAGUGGCAGCUGUUGGAGAGCUGUGGCUUUUGGGCUUCUACGAAGCGGGGGAUUAUUGUCAAAGCCCCCAGAUCGUCACCACCUUCAUCCAUGGCAGGAGGGAAAUGGAAGCCCAGCUAACUGUGGUGCCCUUAGAGGGACAGGACCAUCUUUUCACUAGCCCAUGAUACCAUUUACCUUCUAUGCAGACAAGUAGGUGCCUAUAUACCCUCUUCAUCCUUCCUGACAGCCCCCCCAUUCGGGUCUCAAAGUCUGUCUUGCUGGUAGAUUGGGAUGCCACCCUGCUCUCUCGCCUGGAAUACCCUUCUCCCGGCCCUGCACUGAGAGAGAUGACCAAAAGGCCCAAACUCCUGAAAGUUACUCAGAGCGACUGAUAAAGCCACUCUAAGGCUCUUCUGAGAGUAAGGGACUUCUAGGUUCUGAAUCCCUGGACAGUAAAAAGGACAUGUAUGUACAUCUUUCUGGGUCCAAAGCCAGAUCAUCUACAUUUAUUUAGCACUGGGAUGGGGAUUUUAAUAGCUUCCACAUUACUCAGAGGAUUCCGCAUAGCAAUCAAUUAUGCCACGGGUGAAGUCCAACACAUCUGUAGCACAUCGGAGAGCAUAAACUACAAGGAACCAUGAAGAGGGCAGAGUUAUAAGAACAAAACGUUCCCUUACUAUACCUCUAUUCAUCAGUACUUUGGUGAGUUGGAGACUCAGACUCAUCCAUAGUGGGUGAGCUUUCUGUUGCUUCUCUGAACAAAGGAGAGCACAGGAAGGAAGAGCAAAGAGGAAACGUUAAAGAGAAGAAGUGACCCAGACAUUGUUAAGAACUUAUUAACACAGUGGGAAGAACAGCUGAUGACUCAUUCUUCUGGACAAAAGGUUCCCACACACCUAACGCGGGCAGGAAAAACUGAAUCGCCAGACAGCUGUGAGAGCUAAAGACACUGUCUGUCUACACGCACUUGGGGAGAGGCAACGCACAGAAGAGCAGGGUUGGAUCUAUGUCCCCAGCUUUAUGGCCGCCUCCGGUCCAGGAGUUCCCAGCCAGGCCCAUUUCAAAGGGAGCAAAAGGUCCUGGUGAAAACGAGAGCAUCUGCCAUAAGGAUCUUAACUAGCUGUGUGUUGAGAAAAUGGGGCUUUCAGCCAGUGACCCUGUGGAGGGCAAGGAAGUGAGCAUCUCCAAGUUGAGGCUCCCGGUCUCCACCUAUCCAUGUGGGGAAAUCCCUGCCCUCCUUACCCUCACAGGGAAAGGCAGAAGGGAGCCUCUAAGCAGGAGAGGCUGUCCACUCAGUUUCCGGGCUGCAAACCCUUCUCCUUCCUUGAUUCCUGUUGUCCCCUGCUUCGGGGAAGAAGGUGGAUGGGCUCAGGGGCACCGCCUGCCUCGUGCUUGCCAGGGUGGGAGCAACGAGGUGGCUCCAGUUUCACUGGCUAAGGUGGGAGCCAGGUGGAAAGGCGAACCUCACCAACAGGAAGGGAGGUUGGGUGGGGCAGAGGUUUAUAAGGAGGGUUGAGAAGGCUCCUACCGCACUAUGGAUGGGGUUGCAUUCUCUACAUACCUCUGCCCUCUUCCUUAACGUUGACACAGGCUCCCCACCCUUGUUUGCCGAGUCGCCGAACCCUUCCGUGACCUGCUGGCUGUCACCCAUCCCUACUGGAAGCCCCCGGCGCCUUCCCCGGCUCUAUUCAUCACCCUCACUGAGAAGACAGAGAAAACCCCAGAUGGGACUCACUCACCCGGCCU